rnacentral:rRNA from 1 species
GAUGAACGCUGGCGGCGUGCCUAAUACAUGCAAGUCGAGCGAACAGACGAGGAGCUUGCUCCUCUGACGUUAGCGGCGGACGGGUGAGUAACACGUGGAUAACCUACCUAUAAGACUGGGAUAAUUUCGGGAAACCGGAGAUAAUACCGGAUAAUAUAUUGAACCGCAUGGUUCAAUAGUGAAAGACGGUUUUGCUGUCACUUAUAGCUGGAUCCGCGCCGCAUUAGCUAGUUGGUAAGGUAACGGCUUACCAAGGCAACGAUGCGUAGCCGACCUGAGAGGAUGAUCGGCCACACUGGAACUGAGACACGGUCCAGACUCCUACGGGAGGCAGCAGUAGGGAAUCUUCCGCAAUGGGCGAAAGCCUGACGGAGCAACGCCGCGUGAGUGAUGAAGGUCUUCGGAUCGUAAAACUCUGUUAUUAGGGAAGAACAAAUGUGUAAGUAACUAUGCACGUCUUGACGGUACCUAAUCAGAAAGCCACGGCUAACUACGUG